GUAGCUCCUUUUUAUCCUGAGGAUUAAGCCAUUACAAACUCAAAUGACCAGAGAAUGUAAUUUCUUAAUAAGAAUUUUUUCUUAAAUCUAUAUUCAGCUCUCUAUUUCAGUGCUUCUCUCCUACCAGAGGUGCAAGGAGUGAUCCUAGAACCACAGAUACAGCCAAGACCACGGAGAGCUUUUGACGUCAGGGGUCCACUUUCUCCACUGAACCCUUGGAGACAGAAUAUCCAGCUUCUGGAGAGAGUGGGAAAGGAUAAUAAACAAAUUUCUUUCAACUGGUAAAACAUCAUACUUCUUCAGCAAAAGGAAUUCUUCUAGCAGAGCCUUCAUGGAUGAUAUCUGUCACACAUGCCAGCACCUGCAGUUUGGAAGGCAGUGGUGAAUGGAUCCAUGCAAUAUGUCUAGAAGACACAAGGAUGAGCCAGCCACCU
rnacentral:sRNA from 1 species